GACGAACGCUGGCGGCGUGCUUAACACAUGCAAGUCGAACGGUGAAAGCGGAGCUUGCUCCGCUGGAUCAGUGGCGAACGGGUGAGUAACACGUGGGCAACCUGCCCCUGACUUCGGGAUAACUCCUCGAAAGAGGUGCUAAUACCGGAUACGAAUCCUGCAGGCAUCUGCGGGAUUGGAAAGUUUUUCGGCCAGGGAUGGGCGCGCGGCCUAUCAGCUUGUUGGUGAGGUAGUGGCUCACCAAGGCGACGACGGGUAGCCGGCCUGAGAGGGCGACCGGCCACACUGGGACUGAGACACGGCCCAGACUCCUACGGGAGGCAGCAGUGGGGAAUCUUCCGCAAUGGACGAAAGUCUGACGGAGCAACGCCGCGUGAGUGAUGAAGGCUUUCGGGUCGUAAAACUCUGUUGUUAGGGAAGAACAAGUGCUAGUUGAAUAAGCUGGCACCUUGACGGUACCUAACCAGAAAGCCACGGCUAACUACGUGCCAGCCGCCGCCGUAA
rnacentral:rRNA from 1 species